AGUUGCUGAUUUUAGGAAGAAGAAAUAAUAAUUACAAGGAAUCUUCUUCCUAAGCAGAGCACAUGGUUUGCCCGCAUCCAAUGAUAAGGAUCUUGCAUCCAACAUCUGCAUCACUCUCACAGAUGACGCACUGAGGAACAUGAUUGCUCUUUACACAAGGGAGGCGGGAGUCCGGGAUCUUGAUCGGAAGUUGGCAGGAAUCUGCAGAUCAUUCGCUCUCACUGUUACAACCAUGAUACGAAAAACAACAAGGUUGAAAUAACAAUUGAUGAAGCUGAACUUAAAGAUAUACUCGGUCCUCAAAGAUUCGAUCGAGAAUCGGCGCAAAUACUGACACGCCCGGGUGUGGCUGCUGGGUUAGCUUGGACACAAACAGGAGGUGAAAUACUUUACGUUGAGGCGAGUCGUAUGGCUUCUUGUAAAGGGGGUGAGGCAGGAGGUCACAUGACACUCACUGGCCAAUUAGGAGACGUUAUGAAGGAAUCAGCUCAACUUGCAGUCAGCUGGUUGAGAAGUAAUGCUUAAAUACUUGGGAUUGAUAAUGGAGGCAGAAGCAUAAUGUGUGGCACAGAUAUUCAUUUACACUUUCCUGCUGGUGCUGUUGGCAAAGACGGUCCCUCAGCCGGGGUCACCAUAGUUACGGCUCUUGUUUCAUUAUUUACCGGCAAACUCGUCAGAUCUGACCUUGCAAUGACGGGGGAAAUUACUUUGAGGGGUCUUGUCUUACCUGUCGGAGGAAUAAAAGAAAAAGUCCUCGCUGCUCAUCGAGCAGGGAUGAGGAGAGUAGUUCUUCCUCGGAGGAAUAAACCGGAUGCGAGAGCAGAUCUUCCAGCGGAGGUGCUGAAGAGCAUGAGCAUCAGUUUCGUGGAUUGUUUAGAAGAUGUUUUAUCGGAAGCAUUUGAUGAUGGAGAGAUUUUUGGAAACAACAAAAUUCCCAGCAGCAAACUGUGACAGGAAUGUGUGAACAGAAUUAAACAAAUAUAAAAUCGCAACACUAAUUAUUUAUUUUAGUUUUCGCACCGUUUAUGCAAAUAUAAUUGUACUGCAAUAAUAAAUUCAAUUAUAAAUAAAAACAUUUUCGUGUAA